AAACUUGCACUCCAAAGAAUAGUAUAUGACUAGAGAAGUUUCUCUGAUCGUGUAGAGCACCUGAAGCCAUGAGGAGGAGGAGGAGCCAGAGCGUCCUCUCCUGAGCGUGAAGCCGGCUCUAGGUGUCGCUUCAGGGACUGCCUUUGGCCAUUGAUGACCAUUCUCCCUUUCCUCUGGAAAGGUUAGAGGGAGAGGAUGCAGUCUGAGUGUA